GACGAACGCUGGCGGCGUGCUUAACACAUGCAAGUCGAGCGGUAAGGCCCUUUCGGGGGUACACGAGCGGCGAACGGGUGAGUAACACGUGGGUGACCUGCCCUCAGCUCUGGGAUAAGCCUGGGAAACCGGGUCUAAUACCGGAUAUGACUCCAUGACGCAUGUUGUGGGGUGGAAAGCCUUGUGCGGCUGAGGAUGGGCCCGCGGCCUAUCAGCUUGUUGGUGGGGNGAUGGCCUACCAAGGCGACGACGGGUAGCCGGCCUGAGAGGGCGACCGGCCACACUGGGACUGAGACACGGCCCAGACUCCUACGGGAGGCAGCAGUGGGGAAUCUUGCGCAAUGGGCGAAAGUCUGACGCAGCGACGCCGCGUGAGGGAUGACGGCCU
rnacentral:rRNA from 1 species